ACAGCAGUAGCCGCGGGAAAACAGAGGCCUCAAGCGUUGUUCGGAUUCAUUGGGCGUAAAGGGUGCGUAGGUGGCUUGGUAAGUUGAAGGUGAAAUCUCGGGGCUUAACCCCGAAACUGCCUUCAAUACUGCUAGGCUCGAGGACUGUAGAGGAGAAUGGAAUUCACGGUGUAGCAGUGAAAUGCGUAGAUAUCGUGAGGAAGACCAGUGGCGAAGGCGAUUCUCUGGGCAGUUCCUGACACUGAGGCACGAAGGCCAGGGGAGCAAACGGGAUUAGAUACCCGUGUAGUCCCUGUCUCUUAUAA
rnacentral:rRNA from 1 species